GAUGAACGCUAGCGAUAGGCUUAACACAUGCAAGUCGAGGGGCAGCAUGGUCUUAGCUUGCUAAGACUGAUGGCGACCGGCGCACGGGUGCGUAACGCGUAUGCAACUUGCCUCACAGAGGGGGAUAACCCGUCGAAAGACGGACUAAUACCGCGUACACUCCAUCUUGGGCAUCCAAGGUAGAGGAAAUGAAAUUCGCUGUGAGAUAGGCAUGCGUCCCAUUAGCUAGUUGGUGAGGUAACGGCUCACCAAGGCGACGAUGGGUAGGGGAACUGAGAGGUUGAACCCCCACACUGGUACUGAGACACGGACCAGACUCCUACGGGAGGAAGCAGUGAGGAAUAUUGGUCAAUGGGCGAGAGCCUGAACCAGCCAAGUCGCGUGAAGGAUGACUGUCUUAUGGAUUGUAAACUUCUUUUAGACGGGAAUAACAAGAGUCACGUGUGACUCCCUGCAUGUACCGGAUGAAUAAGCAUCGGCUAACUCCGUG
rnacentral:rRNA from 1 species